AAAUUUUGUCAAAAUCAAGCAGUUUCUUGGACACCUUUCCAAGCUUUCUUGGGGUGAUCAACAUUAUCCUGCAUUCACCAAAAUGAAGAUAUGCAUUGCAGUGGGAAGACAUACUGGUACAAGAGGCAACAGUUCAGAGGAUUUCAUCCAGUCAAGGGUCAUGAUAAGAAACAAAACUCAUUGUUUAUGCAUGACAGUGUCCCACAGCCACAGAAAUAAAUCAUAUGAUGUGCACACCUAUUUGGACAAGAAUGCCAUACAUGCAGCCAAUAAACACACACCAGCAACAGAACUGUGUUUACCACAGUGAAAACAUCUCCAUAAACAGCAGUGGUGUCUGUGAAACCAAGAGAAGAACAAGAGUUGCAUUUGCACUAGGUGGGACUAUGAUUUUCUGCUGUGACUGUGGAUUGUUCCUGUUCUGCCUCCUGAGAUGCCAGUAUGGGAGCAGAUUAGCAGUCUCUACUUCUGCAUUUAGAAAUACCUGUGCCAGAAGCUCUGCCUCUGCCGCUUCUCCACCUCUCAUCUCCCCAGAAUGGGUCCAUGCCACCUCCUCUUGAGUACAGAAAGCAAUCAUUGACAGGAUGUUAUGGCCCUUUUUGAACUCUGUCUAUGCAAAACAUCACAGCUAAGGCUGCACAGCAGCACAGAAGGAAAUCCAUCAAUGGUACUUUAGCUUAGCAUGAUGGCAGUACUACACGGUCAGAGAAGAAAAGAACCACAUUAUGGCAUGCUUUGAACAAAAAUGCUUCAAGCUAAGAUAAAUGGGAGAAGUGACUUCAAUUUGGAAUAAUUAUGUUGUUAAAAUAUUUUCAACACAACAGGAUGCAACUUAACCCUGAUUGCCAGUACUAACCAGCCUCCUUUAAAGAAGAAAUAAGUAUUUAUUUUGGAAAGCCAUUAUAUGUAAUAGAGAGAGACAAGAUCUAAACCAAUCAAAAUCUAAACCAAACCCAAAUUCUUUAGAGAAAAGGAGUGAAAUUGUCACUAUACAAAAGGGCUGCCUGACUACUAUUCAAAAAGAUCUGGGCCUGAACUUAUUUGUACAAGAACUGAUAUAUGUAAGACAGAGAUUCUCUUAGAUCUCUUAAUGCAUCCAGUAGGCGUUAUUUUUUCAGAUCACGAAUGUUUGUGAGGGCAAACGUUUCAGGUCAUGAAUGUUCGUGUGAGCUUUCAAACUACAAAUUGUAACUUAGAUUUUUGAAAAAGCCUUAUAGCAUCUCCGCAAAUGCUUGCAGUGUAAUUGAAAUAUGUACAGGAGCCAAGAAGGGGCAACACUUCUAUACAGGCAAGUUUUGUUCUUGUUAUCGUGACAGCACAACCUGUGACACUGCUGGAGAGUUUUCUAUAGAUCAUAUACACUUAAUCAUAAGAUAAAAAGUAUUAACUUAGCCUAGUAGCUUCUCAAUUUGAUGACGCUUUUUCUGUUGUUAUUUUACUGAUAAUGCUUAUUUUCCUUGUUUUGGGAGAUGCAUGUAGUCUUUUAUUUUUCAUUGCUAACAUGAUUUUUAAAUUUUUAUUGCCAUCUAUUUUUUAUUGUCAUCUUAAUUUCAAUCUAAA
rnacentral:lncRNA from 1 species